rnacentral:rRNA from 1 species
CAGCCGCCGCGGGAAUACGAAGGGUGCAAGCGUUAAUCGGAAUUACUGGGCGUAAAGCGUGCGUAGGCGGUUUGUUAAGUCUGUUGUGAAAUCCCCGGGCUCAACCUGGGAAUGGCAAUGGAUACUGGCAAGCUAGAGUGUGUCAGAGGAUGGUGGAAUUCCCGGUGUAGCGGUGAAAUGCGUAGAGAUCGGAAGGAACAUCUGUGGCGAAGGCGACUAUCUGGGCCAACACUGACACUGAGGCACGAAAGCGUGGGGAGCAAACAGGAUUAGAUACCCGCGUAGUCCCUGUCUCUUAUAC